GACGAACGCUGGCGGCGUGCUUAACACAUGCAAGUCGAACGGAAAGGCCCUGCUUUUGUGGGGUGCUCGGGUGGCGAACGGGUGAGUAACACGUGAGUAACCUGCCCUUGACUUUGGGAUAACUUCAGGAAACUGGGGCUAAUACCGGAUAGGAGCUCCUGCUGCAUGGUGGGGGUCGGAAAGCUUCGGCGGGUGGGGAUGGACUCGCGGGUUAUCAGCUUGUUGGUGGGGUAGUGGCUUACCAAGGGAUUGACGGGUAGCCGGCCUGGGAGGGGGGACGGGCACAAUGGGACUGAGAUGGGGACCAGACUCCUACGGGAGGCAGCAGUGGGGAAUAUUGCACAGUGGGCGGAAGCCUGAUGCAGAGACGCCGCGUGCGGGAUGACGGCCUUCGGGUUGUAAACCGCUUUCGCCUGUGACGAAGCGUGAGUGACGGUAAUGGGUAAAGAAGCACCGGCUAACUACGUG
rnacentral:rRNA from 1 species